rnacentral:tRNA from 1 species
GGAGAGAUGGCUGAGUGGUUGAAAGCGGCAGAUUGCUAAUCUGUUGUGCAUUAUUAAUUGUACCGAGGGUUCGAAUCCCUUUCUCUCCU